UACAGAGGGGGCAAGCGUUGUUCGGAAUUACUGGGCGUAAAGGGCGCGUAGGCGGCCUGUUAAGUCGAACGUGAAAUCCCCGGGCUCAACCCGGGAACUGCGUCCGAUACUGGCAGGCUUGAAUUCGGGAGAGGGAUGUGGAAUUCCAGGUGUAGCGGUGAAAUGCGUAGAUAUCUGGAGGAACACCGGUGGCGGAAGGCGGCAUCCUGGACCGAUAUUGACGCUGAUGCGCGAAAGCCAGGGGAGCAAACGGG
rnacentral:rRNA from 1 species